UACGUAGGGGGCAAGCGUUGUCCGGAAUCAUUGGGCGUAAAGAGCGUGUAGGCGGCCCGGUAAGUCCGCUGUGAAAGUCCAGGGCUCAACCCUGGGAUGCCGGUGGAUACUGUCGGGCUCGAGUCCGGAAGAGGAGUGUGGAAUUCCUGGUGUAGCGGUGGAAUGCGUAGAGAUCCGGAAGAACACCGGUGGCGAAGGCGGCCCGCUGGGCAGAGACUGACGCUGAGGCGCGACAGCGUGGGGAGCAAACAGG
rnacentral:rRNA from 1 species